CGGUGAAAGUGGAGGAGGUAGAAGGGGACCGGGAAUCUGGGUUUCCCUACUGAAACCGCUGCCCCUACAACCCAGACCCAGAUAAGCGAAAGAAAAUGCCUCCAUGCUUUUACGGUACAUGCUCUCAACUCCGGAAACCAAGGCAUCAACAUGAUGAAUCUCAAGAUAAGAAAGGACAAACUGAUAAAGCAGCAGUUACCUGUGACGGCAACAGAGAGACACUUGGUGACAACGAUAGGAGGGCUGCAGUCCCCGUAGAAAGGAGCUGAGGCAUACUCGGCAAAGCUCAGUGCAAUGAUAGCAAAGGAAGAAGGCUUCAACACCAUCAUCAUAGUCCAUGCGUAAAGGCAGUCCAGAUGAGGAGGCAGGGGCCCACACCUCCCGAGUACAAGAGGACUGCUUUGGGAGAGAUGAAGAUGCCUGAGCCGAUUAUUGUGCCCACAAUAAAAGAGAUGGCACUCAGCAGGCCCAACUGUAUGAGCAGAAGAGAAGAUGGAGUUGUGGGAAUUUGUCUGUAGGUUGGAGGUCACUCAUGGUGUCAUCUUACAAAGAAAAAUAUAGAAAUUUAUUAAAAUUAAAAUA